UUUACCUCUUUAGUUAGGUUUAUUCCUAGAUAUCUUACUGUUUUUGGUGCAAUUGUGAAUGGGAUUGAUCCCUUGAUUUCUUUUUCAGUUACUUAGUUAUUGGUGUAUAGCAGAAUUAUCUUUCUAAUUCACAUCUGAUUAUCUCAGUCAUGGUUCUUCAGAUAUUACCAUCAGAUUCCUGCCUACAUUUCUGGAUACAUAAAUUGGUUGCCAUUCCAACACUCAAGUUUUGACCUCUCCAUCCUAAAAUUUAUUGUCACUUUUCCUAGAAUACCCCUUCUCAGACCUUGUCCAUCUGGUAAACUCCUGUUAAUUCUCUGUGGUACAUACAUAUUUGUCAUAUGUGUGAAGUUUUCCCUGGUUCUUCCAAAACCUGCAACCAUUUGUCACAGUCACAAGACUAAUUGUUUUCAUUUUCCUUACUUCAUCAUCCUUGGGUUUCAUCUUCUGCUUCUGAAAAAUUAUGCGUCAUAUCACCAGAGUAAGUGUGGUCUUCUUUUGUGCUUCAAACAUUGGGAGUGAGUCACCCUUUCUAUUUGAUACCCACAUUGACCAUGCAAAAAGGAAUGCCUUCCACUCUCUCUUGUGUUACAUUCUCUCCCAAUUUAUGCAUUGAUCACAAGCAGAAUUUGCCUCUUAUUCCUUUAGUAAGAAUGUCCUAUCCCAUGCCUUAUUUUUUCUUACAGAUCCUCUUUUCCCCUCUAAUGAACCAGCUUAAGCUCCUUGGGACUGGAAUAUGUUUCACUCUGGGUGCCUGGCACUGUGCUCUUCUUGAAAGUAUUUCUUCCCUCCACAUGCUUAACCGUUGUCCAGAACAAAACUUGUAUAAUAUAGCUCUUCCUUUUUUCAAGGCAUAUAGUGUGAGGUAUCAAGGAUAGCCUUUGUCUCUGGUAGUUCAACAUUUUAGGUGACUUACAUCUGCAGACUCAUCUUUGUAUCCACUUAUUACCACCUUCUAUGAAUUCCUGGGCCCCCUUACUCCACCAGCAUAUCUUCGUGGGCUGUGGAGACCCAAUUUAGGUCUCCUUUCUGCAAUCUUGAUGUAUAAAAGAAAAAUCGUACCAAAUCAGUUAAAUAAGCAAGGAGGAUUUUAUUCAAGACAAUUGCAUUAGGGGACAAACACUAUUGUGAUAGGAGAGAGCUUGAACUCAACUCUCCUGAAACAAAAGGACUGAGAGCUUUUCAGUGCAGGGGUGAGCUAGUGGAAAAGUAGUAAUGGAUAUUAGUGGAGAUGUUGGUAUUGUGAUUAGGUCAUUUUUAUUUCUAAUCAGUGCUUGUGAAGGCUUCUACCUUUCCACAGAGACUGGGGGAUAGGGAUGCUAUCUUUCUUGAUGAUUAUAUUUCAUAGAGAUAGCUCUCACAUCCUAGAGAAAGACAUUCCUGGGUUACAGCAGAUUUCUGUCCCAAAGGGGCAAAGAACAAAUGAUUAAUUGCAAGUUUUCUAAGUAAAUACUCUAGGAAAAAGGAGGUCAGGGGUCUGUAGUCAGGAAGAAACCUGCCUAAAAUUUGGUCAAGCAGUUUUAAGUUCAUCUUGGUCAGAUGGGUAAGCAUAAACUAAAAGGUAAAUAAUGACACAUUUAACUUGCUUUCUUGUGGCUUUUCCUGUUCCAUCAAUAACAAUGAAAUGGGUCAUGCAGUAGGGCAGGUACCAUUAGUAAUGAAAUUUAUAUACACUUUAUUCUAAUAAUGUGCUACCAUUGUGAAUAAUUUCCCUCUUAGGUCAUGUCCUUUUGAGAAGGAAUGAAAAAGCACCUCAAAAUGAAUGCAUUGCAAUUAUCACUGUUUUCUUCCUUCUAACUCACUCUUUAUUAAAGGUGAAUGCAUUUAUCACACAGGCAAAUGCUUGUGGUUUGAUUGAUUUGUAUUAUUGCUUUCUCUGUACUGUAGAAGUUCCCAUUAGGGUCUUUCUGAAAUGCAGAAAAUAAUAAUUUAGCACCCGGGCUGGGCUGUUUCUAAUACAAGUAACUCAUACUAAGCUAGAGAGCAGCUAAGUUAAAGACAAAAGGAAGUAGUGAAGUAGUCAGUAAGACAACAGAAGCGAUCAUAAAUCAAUGCCACAUCUUUAUUAUUAUUCUUAUUUUAUUUUUCAAUAUCACCAUCUUUAAAGCAUACACUUUCAAGGGCGGAUCUUGACUAUGUCAGGUGAUUUUUUUUUCACUUGCUUAUUUCAAAAAUAUGUAUUUGACUUAUUUUCCCAUGCCUAUUAUAUAAAAUAGAUUACAUAAAUACAGAUAGUGGUCCCAAGGCAGUAGUGAUUUUUUUAUUAUAUUAAAUAUAUUAUAAUUAUUACUGUGACCUGACCUUGUAGACAAAAUUGCAUGCAGUGGGGACAAUAAAGGAAAGAUAGGAAGAGAGUGUGUAGAGAAAGAGUGU